rnacentral:rRNA from 1 species
CCCUUAGAUGUUCUGGGCUGCACGCGCGCUACACUGAUACUUUCAGCGAGUCCACCACCUUGCCUGGGAGGGUGGGGUAACCUCUGGAAAGUGCAUCGUGAUGGGGAUCGAUUAUUGUAAUUAUUAAUCUUCAACGAGGAAUUCCUAGUAAGCAUGUGUCAUCAGCCCGUGCUGAUUACGUCCCUGCCCUUUGUACACACCGCCCGUCGCACCUACCGAUUGGAUGGUCCGGUGAAGCCUCGGGAUUGUGGUUCUUGCCGCUUUAUUGUGGCGUGACCGCGAGAACUUGUCUAAACCUUAUCAUCUAGAGGAAGGUGAAGUCGUAACA